UGGGGUGUCGCCAAGUGGUAAGGCACCGGUUUUUGGUACCGGCAUUCGCAGGUUCGAAUCCUGCCACCCCAGCCA
rnacentral:tRNA from 11 species